CAGCAGCCGCGGUAAUACCGAGGGUGCGAGCGUUAAUCGGAUUUACUGGGCGUAAAGCGUGCGUAGGCGGCUUUUUAAGUCGGAUGUGAAAUCCCUGAGCUUAACUUAGGAAUUGCAUUCGAUACUGGGAAGCUAGAGUAUGGGAGAGGAUGGUAGAAUUCCAGGUGUAGCGGUGAAAUGCGUAGAGAUCUGGAGGAAUACCGAUGGCGAAGGCAGCCAUCUGGCCUAAUACUGACGCUGAGGUACGAAAGCAUGGGGAGCAAACAGGAUUAGAUACCCCUGUAGUCCCUGUCUCUUAUAA
rnacentral:rRNA from 1 species